rnacentral:rRNA from 1 species
UUCCGCGUGCAGGACGAAGGCCUUCGGGUUGUAAACUGCUUUUGUACGGAACGAAAAGGUCUCUAUUAAUACUAGGGGCUCAUGACGGUACCGUAAGAAUAAGCACCGGCUAACUACGUGCCAGCAGCCGCGGUAAUACGUAGGGUGCAAGCGUUAAUCGGAAUUACUGGGCGUAAAGCGUGCGCAGGCGGUUAUAUAAGACAGAUGUGAAAUCCCCGGGCUCAACCUGGGAACUGCAUUUGUGACUGUAUAGCUGGAGUGCGGCAGAGGGGGAUGGAAUUCCGCGUGUAGCAGUGAAAUGCGUAGAUAUGCGGAGGAACACCGAUGGCGAAGGCAAUCCCCUGGGCCUGCACUGACGCUCAUGCACGAAAGCGUGGGGAGCAAACAGGAUUAGAUACCCUGGUAGUCCACGCCCUAAACGAUGUCAACUGGUUGUUGGGUCUUCACUGACUCAGUAACGAAGCUAAC